rnacentral:lncRNA from 1 species
CAAUAUAUUUCUGAAUAUUGUUUCUGUUUCCUAAGAGCACAAUGUAUAUGGACGUAGGGAGCUGUGGUCCCAAGUGUCACUGGAAUUUAUAUUUUAGGAAUAGGCUUUGCAUGUUAAAAUUCACAAGUUGGGAAACUGUGGUAUGAACAGAUCUGAUUUCCCACAGAGACAAGAAGGAAUAGGUGGGACUUAGCUUGGGGUGGCAGGAGAUGAAAGAGGGAGAAUGGGAGAGUUGGGGUCUGACAGUUACCACCUGAGCCCCAGGAAAACUGUUUUCACAGCUGUGUCACUGGGGGCCUGCUUUCCUCAAAGGAAAUGACUGUUCAGAGGUGAGGCCUUGUGUUGGCAAGGCGUUUUCAUUUUAAGAGUGUUCCCCCAGCCAAGGAGACAGCAGGGGCCCUGCUCUUUUGUGGGCUGUUUCCCUCAGUAAAACCAGCUGCCAGCUUGAGAAGCGUGUCUUUCCAAAGUACAGGCAGAUCUGAGGGGCUCCAGGCACCUGGGAGGUAGAUCACAAAGCAAACUUGGGUCUCCUUGGCAUCAGGGAGGAGGCAGAGUUUGGACUGACACAGCUGCAAGCCAAGAAAAGCCCAGAGCUGCUGCAACACGAGGAGCCAGACAAGGCCUGGAGCAGAGGCAACCUCAGAGCCCCCAGGAGAGACCAACCCUGCUGACACUGAUUUCAGAGCCCCCAGCUCCAGAACCGUAAGUGAAUACAUUUCUGACAUCUUAAGCUACCUAGUUGGCAGUAAUUUGUCAGGACAACCUUAUUGCAUGGCUGGGUGAAAGGAUGGGAUGUAGGGUCCAGCCCAGGGUGGGAGAUGGUUGCUAAGAGAGAGGAAGUCCAGUGUAACCAGGAAACAUAUAGGUUUUAUAUCCAUUCUGCCCCAAAAAUCUGAGCCAGCAGGCAUGACAGACAGUAUUCAAAGAUCAUGCUGCAAGUGUCUAAGCAUAAAGUCUUUGUUCUUGCUUGGCUAAUUAAAAACAAAACUGUUUUCUCCUUAAGGCAAAAAGAAAUCUAAAUAAUAC